GUAGGUGGCAAGCGUUGUCCGGAAUUAUUGGGCGUAAAGCGCGCGCAGGUGGUUCUUUAAGUCUGAUGUGAAAGCCCCCGGGCUCAACCGGGGGAGGGUCAUUGGAAACUGGGGAACUUGAGUGCAGGAGAGGAAAGUGGAAUUCCACGUGUAGCGGUGAAAUGCGUAGAUAUGUGGAGGAACACCAGUGGCGAAGGCGACUUUCUGGCCUGUAACUGACACUGAGGCGCGAAAGCGUGGGGAGCAAACAGGAUUAGAUACCCUGGUAGUCCACGCCGUAAACGAUGAGUGCUAAGUGUUGGGGGGUUUCCGCCCCUCAGUGCUGCAGCUAACGCAUUAAGCACUCCGCCUGGGGAGUACGGUCGCAAAGACUG
rnacentral:rRNA from 1 species